rnacentral:lncRNA from 1 species
AGACUUCCAUAUCAGACAGAGUUUCAAGGCGUGGACAGUUAUAGAAGCUCAUCCAUUCUAAUUUUGGUGCAAUGCGUAAACCACUUGAAAUGUUGACCAAUUUAGGCAUGUAAUGAAGUGAUAUCUUCCUCAAAUUAGGGAGAUAUGUUCUCAAGGGGAAUGGUCUAUGUUCAGCAGGAUCUUCAAGGGUCACUAUGCUGUUGAUUUCAGGGCACCAUUCAGCCACAAGCUCCUCUAAGCUGUUGAGAUUUUCAAGCAAACCCAAAGUAAAAAUGGUAGUCAGCUGUGGGCAUUCAUGCAAUGCCAAGGACUUUAGACUAGAUAGACAACCCCUCCAAACUGGUCCCUUCCAGAUGCUCACUAAAUUCUUCAUAUAAUGAAGCCUUAAGAAUUGUAGAGACCCAAGUAUAUUUUCUCCAUAAACAUCUCCAUCAUCUUCUUGUUGUUUACAAUUUUCUGCUUCAUCCACAAUGGUUUCAAUCUUGUAACAUUCCCCCAAUACACAAAAUUCUAGCUUCUUCAUAUUUCCAAUCCCAAAUUCAGAUAGCUUGGUGAGAGUUAAAUGGCGAUCCAGGAACAAAGCAGUGCAAUGCUGGAGUAACUCCUUGAUUUGACUUGGAAUGCCUUCACCAUUCACAUACUUCAGGCUCUUUUCCUGGAGUUCAAAUUUAACUGCAAGUUCAUGUGGCAGUCGAGAUAUAAUGCGGCUGUGAUGGCUGCCAACAACAAAUCUAAAGUGGACCAAUGACAGGUAUACCGACGAAGUUCCAUCCUUCAUAAAGUGAUCAAGUGGUGCAACACGUGGCACGUAAAGUUUUAGAGCCUCCAACUGUUCUAAGCUGCACACUUCCUGUACAAUAUCUUCAAUGGCCGCAUUCCAUCGUUCGUCAUCAGGGUUCACAUCUAUGCUUAAAUCUUGCAAUUGAAACAAUUCUUGUAUCACAUUCAGAGGAAUCGGUGUAGAUGACUGACUUUUUCUGUAUCCAUGAAAGGACAAUUUCAAGAAUUUUAACUUUUUUAGUCUUGAAACUUCUACAGGUAGUUUUAUAAUUUUAGUGCCUUCAAGAUUGAGCACCUCAAGAUUCCCGAGUUUUCCAACUUCAGGUGGCAGCUCCAUUAAAAGUUCACAGCCUCUUAAAAAGAAAAUUCGAAGUUCGAAUAACUUAAAGAGAGAUUGUGGUAAAGAUCUGAUUCUAGUGUAGGACAAGUCUAGAAUUUGGAGGACAGGCAAGCCUUCAAAGAACAUUGGAGGAAUAGCUCUCAAAUGGUGAUUGGACUGCAAAAACAACACUUUGAGUUGUGAGCCAUGAGGACUCGUUGGUAGCUCUGAAAGUUUAUUAUUCAUCAAAUGCAUCUCACUGGCCUUUUCCCAUGCCUCAUCUUUUGGUGGUUCAGUUAGUCCCCAUCCACCCAGCCUAAGAAAGGGUGAACAUGAUUCAAAUCUUAAGAAGUUUAAUAACUCCUCAUGAAUUUCGCUUCGCAUUCGGACAAAAUUAGAAUCUCCAUACUGAAAACUCUCUAACAAGAAGGCAUUGACAAGAUCCCCCACAAUCUGUUCACCUUCAUCAAAUGUUCCUACCAAGCCGCUUGUGAUCCACUCUUCAAUCAAAUGCACUUUAUCCAUCUGUCCCCAAUUCUCCAUGUCUACACAGUAUUGUAAAUACUUGUUUGUCGAACCUGAACGGCCCCACAUGAAUGCCAAUGCAUUAAAUAAGACUCUAUCUUUUGUCUGAGAUCUGUGCUGCAAUCCUAGUGUAUAAGAUGCAUAUUCCCAGAUCAAAACAUCAGUCACGUCUUUCAAAGCUCUUGCCAUUAUAACAACAGCGAGUAAAUGGCCACAACACUUUUCAACCACAUUUAUGGCGAGGCGUUGGAUCCCUGAAGAGUGCACAACUUCCCCAACAUUCACACAGAACAAUUCCCAUGAUAACAGAUGAUUCUCCAUCCUGAUCUCUACACCCACUGCUGUUACGUCAUCAACAUGCUGAGAAUUAGUUGUAUAAACUAUUUUUUGAAUUUUCUUUGAGUUCCACCAGUUGGUCCCCAUGUCAUAAAGAUUUACCCUUUCACCAACCUCAUGAAGAAGGAUGAAGAAGUUUGUGCCUUUCAGUGUUUCAUCUAAUUUCCGUUCUCCUGAUGUGGAGGGAAACAACUCCCCUUCAAUUGAAAAUCUAAUCUCUUCAAUGGUGGAACAUCUUGAGACAUCAACAUCAAUGACAUGAUCAAAUAUACAACAUUCCUGUAGUUCGCCCCACAAUUCUGAAAUAACUGUUUCUCCAUGGCUUCCUGAAAUCCCAAUCUUCCGAAUUUUAGGGUAUUCUAUGUGUUGUAAAAUUUCACGAAUAGCAAAGUCUACUGCCAAAUCAUAUAUUCUUUUUGGCGUAGGCAUUAUUUGGCCAUGCCUUUCUACAUAAAUCCCGCUGAAGCUCUUCGCAAUCACAACUUGGGGAAAUAGAGGUUCAAUUUCAUCCAUGUAACGAGUCAUCAGUGUACUGAUUCGAUUCUCUAACUUAAAAGCAUCAAUCUCUUUCUUUUUUGAAGGUGCUUCCAUUUCUCUCACCACAUCAUUGAUCUUCAAAAUGUCCUGAACCCACUUAUAUUGAUUCCGCUUGUAGCUUUCUUCGUUCACCAAGCUCAUAGGAGGAUAAGAUAUAAUAAGGCACACAAUAUCCUUCAUCCUGUUCAAUAUCUCAGCACUCUGCUUGAUUCUUUCGUGGACACUCCUGUCAUCUUCUAACCGUGUGGAAGGCCCAGUUAUAUUGAUUUUGCUUCUGCAGAAAUGGAAGGAAAAAACAUUAGAGUGAGUUCAACUAGAAAGCAAUUUCAGAGGACUAUUUGUAGUUAACCUCUUAUGAGUUGUGACAAGUAUGCACAAAUACAAGAUUGUUGAGAAAAAUCUCGAGCAAAACAUAGUGGUAAAAGAAAUAUAGAAGCCAUUUGCAGAUAAAAUGAUACCCUUAAGUGAUUUUUAUAAGAAUUGCUUUCAAAAAUUGACUUUCUCAUACGCCUCCAAGAUGAAUUCUUAAUCCAAUGUUUGCUUGGUGUAGGGCGCCUUGGUGAGAAGGACCUCAAAUCCUAGAGUAUACUAAAAAGAAGUGGGGCCAUUUAUUUUUUAACAGAAAAUUUCUUUAUAUUUUUGUUUCCAAAAGCUUGCUUUUGAGAAGAGAAAGUUUUGGUUUAUUUUGAGUGUUGUAUCAUAAUAAAUAUUAGGAAGUGGUGGUUGAUUAUAUUUUUUCGAGUUUCAAAAAGGAAUUAAGUGUUUAGGAAGCCUCACGGUUCAUUGGUUUUCUCAUAGGUUACAAGUUGUUGGGUCACUCAAAAAAUCUAUGAAAAUUGUUGAGUUAGUGGAAGCUUUAAUGCAAAUAAUAUUAGUUCAAGAACACAAAGAUAAAAAUAAUUGACAUAAAGAAACACAAGGUUUUAAUAUAGUUCGAACAAUCAUGCCUAUAUUUAGGGAUGAUAGAAUAAGAUACAAAUAUUGGGUUCCCAAAACAUCCCAUGUUUCCCCAUUCCUUGUAUCAAUAUCCUAAACCAUGAGUGAGUCUCUCACUCCAUUGAGUGUCAUCUAUUCUUCUUUACAUUUCUAUCCUCCUAUGGUUUUUACAAGCUCAUCUUCAUCUCAUGAUUUUUCUCCUCAUGACUUGAGAUAUUUAUAGAGAUAUUCCUAAUAGUUUUCCUUGUUCUAUAAGAAAAUCUAAUUUUUAAAGAAGAAAAAAAGUAGGUUUUGACUCACUAAUUUGAAAAAAAUAUAGAAAAAAACCUCAACUUUAUAAAUAAGUUUUAUAGUCAUUUAUUUAAAAAUAUUUUAAAAUACAUGCACUUUUUCAUAUCUUAAAUAAUUAUAUCCUAAAAUGACCCUAUUACUUGUGAUGUUAAUAACACCUAUUAACAAUUUUUUUAUUGUAAGAAUCAAUUUGACAUUAAUAAAAUAAGAAAUUUUAAAAAUUAAAAAUACAAUUAAAACUAAAAAAAUAAAAUUUAAAGCUAAAAAUAUGAAAAUAAAAUAUUAUGCAUCUUUAAUUUUUUUUUUGUUUUUAAUUGUAUUUAAUUAUUAUAUAUUUUAGUUUUAAUUAUUGAUGUCAACUAACAAAAUUUUUAUUCAAUUUUAUUAAAAAAAAUAUGAGAGGAUGAGAGGAUUUAUAUAAUAUAGGACAUAAAAUCAUUAUUAAUUAGGGGACUGGAAAGAUUAGAAAAAUUUUAUUUAUCACGAGGAUGUUGGAGAAUUUUUCCACAAUGAUUUGUAUCUCAUAUUAUAUAAUAAAAAAUUUAUAAUAUGUUUCAUUGUAAAACAUUUUUAUCAAAUUAAAAUGAUAAAUCAAUUUUGGAUAAUUUUAUUUAAUAUUAUCAAGUAAAAGGGUAUUUUAGGAAAUAAUUAUUUAACUUAUGAAAAAGUACAUGCAUUUUAAAAUAUUUUUAAUUGGAUGAAAAUAAAAUUGAUUUAAAAAAUUUGAGUUUCUUUUUUCUAUAUAUAUUUAAAUCAGUGAGUCAAAACCUAUUUUUUUCUCUAAAUAAUAUAUCAACUUAGAAAAUAUAUUAUACAAUAUUUUUUACGAAAUUGAAUAUAUACUAAUUAGGAAUCUGGGACACUUUCCAACAAUCUACAUACCUUGGAUCAAAUUUUAUUAAGUCAAUCUAUCAUCUUUUUAUGAUAGACACUUUUUUGUUUGUAUCACAUCCCGAUAUUUAAUCAACUCCACUUUCAACUAAAAUUCUUUUUGCCAUCAUGUUUUGUACUCUAUUCUCUUUGCCUUCUCCAAAAAUCUUCAACCCAAAACUCUUAUACCAAUUUAUUAUGUUAAUAAAGUUUUAAUGCAAACAAUGUUAGUCCAAAAAUAAAAUUGAUUUAAAAAAUUUGAGUUUCUUAUAUAUAUAUAUAUAUAAAUCGGUGAGUCAAAACCUAUUGUUUUUCUCUAAAUAAUAUAUCAACUUAGAAAAUAUACUAUACAAUAUUUUUUACGAAAUUGAAUAUAUACUAAUUAGGAAUUUGGGACACUUUCCAACCAUCUACACACCUUGGAUCAAAUUUCGUUAAGUCAAUCGAUCAUCUUUUUAUGAUAGACGCUUUUUUGUUUGUAUCACAUCCUGAUAUCUAAUCGACUCCACUUUCAACUAAAAUUCUUUUUGCCGUCAUGUUCUGUACUCUAUUCUCUUUGCCUUCUCCAAAAAUCUUCAACCCAAAACUCUUAUACCAAUUUAUUAUGUUAGUAAAAGUUUUAAUGCAAACAAUGUUAGUUAAAGAACACAAAGAUAAAAGCAAUAUCCCACACAAAGGAACACGAGGUUUUGAUGUGGUUCGGCCAACCAUACCUACAUUUAUGGAUAAAAAAGAAUCAUUCUACUGCAACAUAGAAAAUAUUACAAAGGAUAGAACCAUUCUACUACAUCAUAGAGAACAUUACAAAGGGCAUAACUAGAUACAAAUAUGAGGUUCUAAAACAUUUUAUGUUUCCUCACUUCUUGUAUCAAUACCCUAAACCAUAAGUCUCUCAUUCCAUUGGGUGUCUCUUAUUCUUUUUCACAUCCCUGUCCGCCUUCCUCACUCCAUUGAGUGUUUGUUAUUUUUCCUUAUAUCUCUAUCCACCUUAUAUAGUCUUUAAAAGCUCAUCUUCAUCUCAUAAUUUUUUCCCUCAUAACCUAGAAUAUUUAUAAAGUCAUUCCUAACAACUUUCUUUAUUUUAUAAGGAAAUUUAAUAUCACAAUAAUAUAUCAACUUAGAAAAUAUUCUAUAUAAUAUUCUUUACAAAAAGGAAUCAAUAUUAAUUAGGGACUUGAGACACUUUCUAACAAAAAUCAAUGUAAUGGUGUGAGUAUUUAUCCAAAUAAGCUAGUGUUAUUUUUACAACGCAUGGGAUCGAAUGGAGACUAAGUGUGUUUGGGAGUGUGUCUAUUUGAACUCUUUUUAGUUAAAAUACUUUUACUAAAAUGUUUUUAAGAUAAUUACUUAUCAAGUGCUUCUUUUAAAAACACAAUAAGUGAUUUUUCAACUUUUAAAAUUUUUUCAAACAACAGAUUUUUUUUCCAAAAGUACUUUUUAUGCUAGAAGUAUUCUAAAAAAGACAAGGAAUAAAAUAUUAAUGAAAAGUGGAGGAAAAUAUUAAAAGAUUUUAGUUUCCAUGUAUGUAUAUUUUUUAACAAUUUAAUUUUCUUUUCCUCAUUUUUUUCCGUGGAUAACAAAAAAAAAAAGAGGUUAUUUGAUUAAAAGGGAUCAAAUUAUCCACACUUUGUAAAACUAACCCUUCACCUUUUUUUCAACCUAAAAAUACUUAUUUUGGACAAAAAUACCCUCAUUUUUUUCUUACAAAAAUAACAUUUUUUAAAAACACACAUGUAAAUAAUAGAAGCAUUGAAGCACAUUUAUAUCAAAAUUGGGUUACAAUUCAAGUUAAAAAAAUGGGAGAAGUUAGUUUUAUUUUAUUUUUUUCUCUUUUUUUUUUUUUUUUCCCAACCGACCCUUUUUUUCCUAUAUUUUUAUCUUCAUUUUCAUCUCUACCCACCCAACCCCCCAUCCCACCUAAACUUUGUUUUUUUUUUCUUUUCAUUUCUUUUAUUUUUUUCACACUCAAUUGUUUUUCAUAUUCUUCUUAUAUGUUAAAACAAAAUAAUUUCUUUACAUAAUAAAUUAUAAAAUGAUUUUUUCACCAAAAGUAUAUUAUGUAAAAUGAUUUUAUUAUAUUCAAUGAUUUAAAUAUAUAUAUUUCUUUAUUAAAAAAAAUGAAAGUUAUAAAUCUUACCUGAAAAUUGUCAUCAAAUGAUUGAAUUUCAUUAUUCAUUGUAUUUUGUAUGUGAUUCACAGCCUUAAUCAACCAGAAUUUAGGUUCAAUAUGUUGAGAGGAGAUUAGAAAGAGUUCUUUAUUAAAAAGGGUAUAUGUGGAAAAAAUAUAUGAUAAAAAAGUGUUACGUUUAGCAAAAGGGAUGUUGCGAAUAGCAACCCCUAAAAAAUUAUAACUUUUCUUUCUUUCCUUUUUUUCCUCCCUAUUCUCUUUCAAUCUGUUUCCAACCAUCAAACAUAGCCCAAUGAUUCUAUAUUUUGUCAAUACUCUUGUUCACGUUUUCUUAAUAGUUUUGUUAUUACUAAAUACCACCUUGCUUCAAAAUUUAUGAUUUUAUAUAUGUUUACGUCUAUAUGAGUUCCCUUAUAAAGAAAAGAAACUCUUAUUGUUAAUUCAUGCCAAUUUUACCUUCAUCCAAUGCACCAAUUUAUUAUUCUAUCUUUACAUGUUUCAUAUCAUUUAUUAAUAAAGAAAAAAAUAUAUUUAAAUUAUGAAAAAAAAAUAAAAAAUAAAAAAAUAAAUAAGCAAAGAAAAAUAAUCAUAUUGAAUGGGAAAAAAAAAUCAAGGAAUGAAAACAAGUUUAUUUAAUAAAAAAUAAAAUAAUUAAAAAUGUUUUUUUUUUUUUUUUUAACUUCAAUUUCCUCCAACAUAUCCUAAAAAUGAAGGUAAAAAAUUAGGGAAAAAUGAGUUUUGACUCACCAAUUUGAAAAAUAUAGAAAAAGAAGCCAACUUUUAUAAAUCAAUUUUAUCUUCAUCUAUUUAAAAUUAUUUUAAAAUACAUGCACUUUUUGACAUAAUUAUUUCCUAAAAUUUUACUUAUGGGAUAAUUGUGUUUUGGGCCCAAUUGGAUCCAAAAAUUAAGGUUUGGUCCAUAUAACUUACACAAUUGAUGGAAAUGAUAUAAGAUAUCAAAAGACCAAAAUAUCCAUUGACCUUUCACAUAAGCUUUUUUGGUCUUUAUUGCACCACUAUUCAUACAACCAUAAUAAUUAUAUUUUAACCAUUUGAAAUUUUCAUUGUUUUUUAAAACUUUUUUUUAUAUAAAUAAUUGAAAAUCAACAUUAUUUUCUAUUUUAAAUUAUAAAUAAAGAAAAAUUAUGUUCAAAAACUAUUUUAAAAAAUGCUUUCUAAAAAAAUGGUAAUAUGAUUUAUAUUUUUUAUAUUUUCUUUUUGAAAAAACAUUUAAUUAAAAAAUGAAAACUAUUUUUAAAAAUAAAAAUUGAAAACCUUGUUUAGUACUAAUUUUUAUAUGAAAAUAAUAAAAAGAAUUAAAUUUCAUUCAUUGAUUAUCUAUUAAAUUUUGUAUGAAAUUUUUUUAUCCUUGCUUAUAAUAAGAGUAAAAAGAUUCAAUAUCUUUAAAAAAGAAAAAAAAAAUUAGAAAUAAGUAAUACUUAAUAGGGAAUGGAAAAGGGAAAAAACACAAAAAAAAAAAAAAAAAAAAUAGAAAUUUACACUUACUAUAUGCCUAUAUAGGGGUUAAGGGUAUUUUAGAGAUUAAUGAAAGAUAAUAUCUUUCAACUUAAUUUUUACACUUUAGUUGGGUCUUGGGCUUAAAUAUGCAUGAUAUAUGGAUUUUUGGUCAAUUUUGAGCCUCAUCUCACCUCAAAACACAAUUCUCUCUUUACUUAUUAGGUUAAUCCAAUUAACAAUUUUUUUUUUACUGUGAAAAUUGAUUUGAGGUUUAUAAAAUAAGAAAUUUUAAAAAAUUAAAAAUACAAUUAAAACUAAAAAAAACUUUAAAGAUAAAAAUGUAAAAAUAAAAUAUUAACUUUCACUUCAUUAAAUCACAUUAGUAAAAAAAUAUAGAUUUCACAAAAGAGUUGAGAAUAUUUUAUUGUUGAUGUCAACUAUUAAUAAGAGAAUUAAAAAGAUUUUAUUUAUCACUUUAUGAUCCUAGAGAUUUUUUUCAAAAUGACUUGUAUUUUAUAUUAUAUUAUAAAAAAAUUAUAAUAUAUUUAUUUGUAAGAUGUUCUUAUUAAAUUAAAAUGAUAAAUUUUUUUUUUUGAUAAUUUUAUUUAAUAUUAUCAAGUAAAAAGGUAUUUCAGAAAAUAAUUAUGACUUAUGAAAAAAUACAUGUAUUUUAAAAUAUUUUUAAAUGAAUAAAGAUAAAAACUGAUUUAUAAAAGUUAGAGGUUACUUUUUCUAUAUUUUUUCAAAUUAUACCCUAAAAAAUUUGUUGAUAAUAAGAAUAUUUUUUUAAAAAAAAAAGAAAAUUAAAAUAAAAGAAAUCUUUAAAGGUAAAGAAAUCUUGGAAAGAAAAAAAAAAUGCACUUCAAGUAAUUUAAAUGACACUUUAAAAAAAUAAAAGAAAGAAGAAAAGAAAUAAAAUUUAUUUAAACAUACUUCUUAUUGAUGGAUGAUGAAAGUAGAUGAAAAUUUUUUAUUAUUCUACCCAAACACAAUAAAAAAAAGAAGUGAUGAGUACCUAAGAAAAUAUGACAAAAUGAAAAUAAUUUUCAUUUUUCUCUAACAUGAUAAAAGAUAUAAAUAGAUUAGUUAAUUUUGGAUGGUUAACACUCCCUCACUAAUCUCCAACUAAAAAGGAUAGUAAUAAUAAUAAUAAGAAAAAUAUUAUUAUUAUUGUUGAGAAAACAAAAACUAUGCCUAGUUAAGAAAAACACCCAAAAGGGGGGGGGGGGAGGGGGUGAAUUGGGUUUUUAAAAUCUUUUCAAUCACAACAAAUUCAAACACAAUAUAAGCAAAGUAAAGAGAUAGAGUUUAGAGAAAUCAAACUCGGGUUUAUAGUGGUUCAACAUUUCCUUGCCUACGUCCACUCUCUUCAACCUCUUAACCGAGUGAGGGUUCCACUAACUUGAAACUUCAACCAAGCUUCCAAUCUUCUUACACUUGGAUUCCGACUCCAAUGGGCUCUUACACAACCUCUUCAAGAUUCAAACCUCUUGAAGACUUUAAUACUCAGAUUUUUACAAGAUAUAAUCCCUCAACCUAGCUUAAGGAUAGCUCAAAUACAAGACAAAGUUAGGAUGACACAUAAGAGUGCACUAAAGGAUAUGCAAGUGGUGAUUUAAUGCACUAAGAAAGAAAUGAGAGCUUUUUGAUUAAGAAUAGGUAGGCAGACUAUUGAAUGCAAGUGUUCUCUUCUUAAUAAAUGAAGUGGAGCUCUCAAUUUAUAGGUUUCUAAGCUCGGGAGUCAAAAACAACAAAAGGUAACCUCGUUCGGUCGAGCUAGGGGUUGACCGGUUCACUAGCCGUUGGAGCAUUUAAUGCAUGACAGGGUACCCGUUGCCUCAAUCGGACCUCGAUCGGUCCUCGACCGGUAAGAGAAUCACCUCGAUCGGGAAGAGAAGGCUACUGGGGGAGAGAGAAAGUUUUUGGCCUCCCUUGACCGGUCCUCAAUCGGACGAGCACAACCGGUCGACCGGUUCCUCAACCGAUUGAGCCGGUUGGCCAUAACCUCGACCGGUUGAGCCUUUUUAGCCUCGAAAACCUAUUUUUUGAUUCUUUUCUUUUCUAACACUUAGGCAAGGUCUUUAAGUAAAUUAUUAAGCCAAUUAUAGAACAUUUUUCCUAAGGUACAUUAGUUAAAAACUCGGGUUUUAAUGAAAUCUAAGUUUUAAAGAAUAAACCGAGUUUUCUAAGAUGCAUGAAACGUGUGAAAAUCCUAUGUGCACUCAUGCAUUCAUCUUACAUUAAUUUCCUAUGAUCACAAGUCUUCCAAGCGUCUCGAUCUUGUAUCCAUUUGGUCAUUUGAUGAAUUUUCGAGUUUAUACCUAAGAUUCUUAAUCAUUAAACCAAUUAGUCACUUAACCAUGGUUUGUUAUCAUCAAAACCUGAUUAGGAGAACCCUUGGGCUAACAAUUAUUAUUAUCUUAUUGGUAAAACCUUCAAAAGAAGAAAAGUUGCUAAAAUCAAGGAACUAAAUCCUUUGAAUUAAGCAACUAAAAUUCAGAAUUCAAAAUUCAAAUAUUUUAUCUUGUGACUUCUUUCAACAAAAGGGAUGGGAAGAAAUUCAAAAAUAAGAAAAAAUUGGAGAAAAAGUUUUAG